AUCCUCGUGGCGCAGUGGUUCAGCGCCAGGAAGUCCUCUUUGGAAGACGCAGGUUCGAAUCCUGCCGGGGACA
rnacentral:tRNA from 2 species